AGACGUAGGGGGCGAGCGUUGUCCGGAAUUACUGGGCGUAAAGAGCACGUAGGCGGAUAUUUAAGUCAGUUGUGAAAGGCCGCAGCUUAACUGCGGAGUUGCAAAUGAAACUGGGUAUCUUGAGGGCAGGAGAGGUCAGUGGAAUUCCUGGUGUAGCGGUGAAAUGCGUAGAAAUCAGGAGGAACACCAGUGGCGAAGGCGGCUGACUGGACUGACCCUGACGCUGAGGUGCGAAAGCGUGGGUAGCAAACAGGAUUAGAUACCCUGGUAGUCCACGCUGUAAACGAUGGAUACUAGGUGUGGGAGGUAUCGACCCCUUCCGUGCCGGAGCUAACGCAAUAAGUAUCCCGCCUGGGGAGUACGGUCGCAAGGCUGAA
rnacentral:rRNA from 1 species